ensembl:snoRNA
UUUGCACACAAACCCAAAGAUCAUUAUGUUCAUGUGUAAUGAUCUUGCUAUGUGUGCGCAAAGGAAAAAAAGAACCUUGUCGCCUUCCAUAAGCUUGUACUGUGCCAAUGGAAGUGAAUUCAAGGUUCAACACCG